AAUUAAAAAAAAGUGCUUACGCCAGCAAUGAGUGUAGUAUCAGCAAGUGCCUACAUUGUAGAAAAAUUUUAGAAUGUAAUAUUCAUAUUAUUGAUGUAGCGUACUUAACGAAUCAAAAAGCUCCUCUAUGUUCACUUAUCUUAUCAUAAUUUUCAAAAAAAAUUUUUAUUAUACUUUUUUUUAAAACAAAUUAUUAUUAGUUUGAAAUAACUAAUAUAGUGUAAUUAUUAUAUAGUAGACUUCCUCCUGCAUGGCGCCCAUUCGAGCUGGAGCUCCAACAAAUUAUUGGAGCCCCAGGCUGCAAGAAAAUUUUUUUCUACUGUAAAAGUGGGCAAAGCAAUAAUUUCUUUGCCAAGCGUUACUAUGCAGUUCUUUUUAAAAGUUGCCAAGAAAAAAUCAAAGCAUAAACUUAAAAUACCACCUAUGUGUGGUUUCUCACCUUUUCUAUUUUUCUUUUUUUUAGAAAUAGGUAGCAAGCUAUCUAUUUUAUUUAUUAGGAAAAUAAAUUAGGUUUACAUGAUGGAGACAGCCGAGGCCUCCGGAAAAAUAAAGAGAAACAGGGUAAGUAAAAAAAUAAAAAAUAGUAAACAGGAAAAAAAACGACAAAAUUGACCAGAAAAAAAAGAAAGAGGUACGUCAGCACCAAACAAUCAGAGUCAGAGUUUUGUGGUCCAGGAUGUUAGCAGUAGUCUACCACGUUCUAGUGCACGGGUAGUGUUGGGAGGUUUCGCACGGAAAAGACUGUCAUUCCUUUUAGUCCAAACAACCCACCAAAUAGCACACAGUAGAGUUAGAGUUUCAAGUCUCUUUCGGGCAUCUGGUAGGCUGAUUGCUCUUGUCCAAAGAUCCCUCGCCUCCGUCGAUGGCUCUAUCAAAGAUUUCGGUGCUUCCACACAAAUGAGUAGGAAGCAAACAAACACGCAGGAGCUCAUAAGGUGAUCACAGUUUUCCGUAGUUUUUCAUUUUAGUAUUCUGUGGUUUAAAGUGUGUCAAGUUAGUAUCCUGUAGUUUUAUUUUUAUUUUUUUGUCAGCUUGUCCGUUAAUAUUUCGUUAAAUUAUAUACAAAAACUUAAGAUACUCCACUUAAAUUUAUUGAAUAUUCACUUUAGUUCUCUUUAGUUUUAACUUUGUCACUGAUUUAACAAAAAAAAAGUUAUGGAAUCGAUAAUAAUAAAAUAAUGAUAAAACCACAUAAUACUAAAUUGAUACACUUUAAACUAUAGGGUAUUAAAGUGAGAAAAUGUGAAACCACAAGAAUAAUAUUUGAAGUUUUUUCAAAAUCAAAUGCAUUGCUCACUAACAAAUCUUUGCAACGUUUUUAUAAACCAAGCUCAACGGUCAACUUUCAGAGUCUAUGGAUGUUAUUCAAUUAAACACCAUUCGUGGUGAUGUUCGAGCGACAAACAAACCUAUGCGUCUUACUGUGGGCAAUGUUCAUCGCUUCAGAUCUUGGUUUAAGACCAAUCACUAACUAAAUGGGCCCUUUCAUGUUCAAUCUUCCUAAGCGAUACUUGCACAUUGAGGGCCAUUUGGUUAGAUAUAAUUAUAAAUACAGUAUUAUUGAUGAUGCACGGCGUUAAAGAUGUAGCAAUUACAUUUUUAUAUAUAUAUUUUAUUCGGUUGAAUGCAAUUGAGAAGUGCAUUUAAGCAAUUUUAUUAUUUUCUAUUUAUGGUAAUCAGAUUAUCUCCGCCGUUUGUUUAGAGUUACUCUCUUCAAUUGCUGCUGUAGCUGGAAUAGCAACAAAUUUGCAUGUAGUUUCAAUUGCUAUAGUUGAACCUCCUUAUGCAACUUCAACUAUACCAGGUAGACUCAAAUACAUCAAAUUAAAUAUCGAAUUUGAAAUUACAUGUAGUGCGGCCAAACAACUUCUUAAUCUCUCUCACGCCCAUAUGUUUUUUUGGCGUCGCCUAAUAUUUAUCACGCUAAAAAAUAGUUAGAAGAAGGAAUAUAAAAGUAUACUUUUUUCUCAUAGAAAACUUCAAAUACCACUCUUGUGGUUACGCACUUUCUCACAUUACUAUCCUAUGAUUUAAAAUGUAUCAAUUUAGUACCUUGUGUUUUUUUUUUAUUAUUAUCAAUUUCAUUAAUUCUUUUUGUUAAAUCAGUGACAAAGUUAAAACUAAAAGAUACUAAAGUGGAUAUUCGAUAAAACUAGAUGUGGUAUUUGAAGUUUUUAUAUAUAAUUUAACAAAAUAUUAACAAACAAGAUGACGAAAAGAUAAAAAUGAAACCACAUGGUACUAACUUGAUAUACUUUAAAUCACGGAAUACUAAAAUGAGAAAGUGUAAAAAUUUGAAGUUUUUUUUUUUUUUCAGUAAU
rnacentral:lncRNA from 1 species